GAUGAACGCUAGCUACAGGCUUAACACAUGCAAGUCGAGGGGAAACGAUGAGAGAGCUUGCUCUCUUAGUCGUCGACCGGCGCACGGGUGAGUAACGCGUAUCCAACCUGCCUCUGACCAAGGGAUAACCCGUCGAAAGUCGGACUAAUACCUUAUGCAGUCGUCGGAAGUCAUCUGAUGACGACGAAAGAUUUCAUCGGUGAGAGAUGGGGAUGCGUCUGAUUAGCUUGUUGGCGGGGUAACGGCCCACCAAGGCGACGAUCAGUAGGGGUUCUGAGAGGAAGGUACCCCGCAUUGGAACUGAGACACGGUCCAAACUCCUACGGGGGGCAGCAGUGAAGAAUAUUGGUCGAGGGGCGUAAGCCUGAACCAGCCAAGUAGCGUGCAGGAUGACGGCCCUAUGGGUUGUAAACUGCUUUUAUGCGAGGAUAAAGUGAGGGACGUGUCCUUCAUUGCAGGUACCGCAUGAAUAAGGACCGGCUAAUUCCGUG
rnacentral:rRNA from 1 species